UAGAGACUAAAGCAAACAGCAGCCUCCACCCGUCACCCCAGGAACCUUGUGCUUCUAGGUAAUGAACCUCCCACCACAGCUCCACUGGACAGAAUUGCCCCAGCUUCCUCCAGCCCAAACUCCUGCACCCACCACUCAGAGAAAUGGAAGUCAAGGACUCAGCAGUCCAAGGCAGCCCUUCUGAAGCAAGUUCAGUGGCUCAGCAAAUGUUUGUUGAGAACCUCCUAUGUGCCUGGCUGGAGCAGGGUGAGGCUGUGGAGCUGCACAUCAUAGUCCGCAUCUGGGUCAGCCCUGAAUCUCAGGCACUGGAAGACUCCACCUGGACCCAUGAUUCAUGACUCAACCUGUCCACCCAGAAGCUGACUCAGAGCAUAAGGACCAUUUUCCACACCCCUAGGAUUUCAUCUCCAACCAAUCAGCAUUCCCCAUUCUCUAGCCCCUGUCCACCAAACUAUUCUUUAAAAAUCUUAGCUCUAAGCUUUAUUUAUUUAUUUAAUACACUCCUGUCUUCCA